GGGGGGGGCAAGCGUUGUUCGGAAUUACUGGGCGUAAAGGGCUCGUAGGUGGCCAACUAAGUCAGACGUGAAAUCCCCAGGCUUAACCUGGGAACUGCGUCUGAUACUGGAUGGCUUGAAUUCGGGAGAGGGAUGCAGAAUUCCAGGUGUAGCGGUGAAAUGCGUAGAUAUCUGGAGGAAUACCGGUGGCGAAGGCGGCAUCCUGGACCGAGAUUGACACUGAGGAGCGAAAGCCAGGGGAGCAAACGGGAUUAGAUACCCCGGUAGUCCUGGCCCUAAACGAUGAAUGCUUGGUGUGACGGGUAUCGAUCCCUGUCGUGCCGAAGCUAACGCAUUAAGCAUUCCGCCUGGGGAGUACGGUCGCAAGGCUG
rnacentral:rRNA from 1 species